rnacentral:rRNA from 1 species
AGCGAACGCUGGCGGCGUGCUUAACACAUGCAAGUCGAGCGAAGGUGUUUCAAGGGGUAACCUUGAGAUACACUUAGCGGCGGACGGGUGAGUAAUACGUGGAUAACUUACCUCUAGGCCUGGGAUAACCCCGGGAAACUGGGGCUAAUACCUGAUAAGACCACAUUGUCUACGGACAAAGGGGUAAAAGGUGGCUGUGCAAACAGCUAUCGCCAAAAGAUAGGUUCACGUCCCAUCAGGCAAUGGUGAGGUAAUGGCUCACCAAACCAAAGACGGGUAGCCGGCCUUGGCGGGUGAACGGCCACACGGGGACUGAGACACGGCCCCGACUCCUACGGGAGGCAGCAGUGGGGAAUAUUGGGCAAUGGGCGCAAGCCUGACCCAGCGACGCCGCGUUGGGGAAGAAGGG